rnacentral:rRNA from 1 species
AGUGAACGCUGGCGGUAGGCCUAACACAUGCAAGUCGAACGGCAGCACAGGAGAGCUUGCUCUCUGGGUGGCGAGUGGCGGACGGGUGAGGAAUACAUCGGAAUCUACUCUGUCGUGGGGGAUAACGUAGGGAAACUUACGCUAAUACCGCAUACGACCUACGGGUGAAAGCAGGGGACCUUCGGGCCUUGCGCGAUUGAAUGAGCCGGUGUCGGAUUAGCUAGUUGGCGGGGUAAAGGCCCACCAAGGCGACGAUCCGUAGCUGGUCUGAGAGGAUGAUCAGCCACACUGGAACUGAGACACGGUCCAGACUCCUACGGGAGGCAGCAGUGGGGAAUAUUGGACAAUGGGCGCAAGCCUGAUCCAGCCAUACCGCGUGGGUGAAGAAGGCCUUCGGGUUGUAAAGCCCUUUUGUUGGGAAAGAAAUCCGGCUGGCUAAUACCCGGUUGGGAUGACGGUACCCAAAGAAUAAGCACCGGCUAACUUCGUGCCAGCAGCCGCCGUAA